GUUGUGGCUCAGUGGCAGAGUGCUUGCCUUGCACAUGUGAGGCACUGGGUUCAAUCCUCAGCACUACA
rnacentral:tRNA from 1 species